rnacentral:misc_RNA from 1 species
AGGGAUCAUUACCGAGUUCAUGCCCUUACGGGUAGACCUCCCACCCUAUGUUAUAUUACCUUUGUUGCUUUGGCGGGCCGCCCGGCUUCGGCCAGGCUACCGGCUCCAGCUGGUAAGCGCUCGCCAGAGGACCCUCAACUCUGAAUAUCAGUGUCGUCCGAGUACUAUAAAAUAGUUAAAACUUUCAACAACGGAUCUCUUGGUUCUGGCAUCGAUGAAGAACGCAGCGAAAUGCGAUAAGUAAUGUGAAUUGCAGAAUUCAGUGAAUCAUCGAAUCUUUGAACGCACAUUGCGCCCCUUGGUAUUCCGAGGGGCAUGCCUGUUCGAGCGUCAUUACAACCCUCAAGCACUGCUUGGUAUUGGGCUCCGCUGGCUCCAGCGGGCCUUAAAAUCAGUGGCGGCGCCGUUUGGGCUCUGAGCGUAGUAAAUAUCCUCGCUAUAGAGACCAGGCGGUUCUUGUCAUCAACCCCCAACUUUCUAAGUUUGACCUCGGAUCAGGUAGGGAUACCCGCUGAACUUAA